rnacentral:rRNA from 1 species
AAUUUUGGACAAUGGGCGCAAGCCUGAUCCAGCAAUGCCGCGUGCAGGAAGAAGGCCUUCGGGUUGUAAACUGCUUUUGUCAGGGAAGAAAUCUUCUGGGCUAAUACCCCGGGAGGAUGACGGUACCUGAAGAAUAAGCACCGGCUAACUACGUGCCAGCAGCCGCGGUAAUACGUAGGGUGCGAGCGUUAAUCGGAAUUACUGGGCGUAAAGCGUGCGCAGGCGGUUAUGUAAGACAGAUGUGAAAUCCCCGGGCUCAACCUGGGAACUGCAUUUGUGACUGCAUGACUGGAGUGCGGCCGAGGGGGAUGGAAUUCCGCGUGUAGCAGUGAAAUGCGUAGAUAUGCGGAGGAACACCGAUGGCGAAGGCAAUCCCCUGGGCCUGCACUGACGCUCAUGCACGAAAGCGUGGGGAGCAAACAGGAUUAGAUACCCUGGUAGUCCACGCCCUAAACGAUGUCAACUGGUUGUUGGACGGCUUGCUGUUCAGUAACGAAGCUAACGCGUGAAGUUGACCGCCUGGGGAGUACGGCCGCAAGGUUGAAACUCAAAGG